GAUCCUGGCUCAGGACGAACGCUAGCGGCGUGCCUAAGAAAUGCAAGUCGAGCGAGGAUUAGGAGCUUGCUCCGAAGUCCUAGCGGCGAACGGUCGCGUAACACGUAAGCAACCUGCCCCAGAGUGGGGGAUAGCCCGCCGAAAGGCGGAUUAAUACCGCAUGUGGACAUAACUUCGCAUGUUGUUAUGUCUGAAGCAGCAAUGCGCUCUGGGAUGGGCUUGCGGCCUAUCAGCUAGUUGGUGUGGGUAACGGCUCACCAAGGCGACGACGGGUAGCUGGUCUGAGAGGAUGGUCAGCCGGAUCGGGACUGAGACACGGCCCGGACUCCUACGGGGGGCAGCAAUUGGGAAUCUUGCGCAAUGGGCGAAAGCCUGACGCAGCGACGCCGCGUGACUGAUGACGUCCUUCGGGAUGUAAAGGUCUUUUUUGGGGGAAGAAGGAUGUGACGGUACCCCAAGAAUAAGCCCCGGCUAACUACGUGCCAGCAGCCGCGGUAAUACGUAGGGGGCGAGCGUUGUCCGAAUUCACUGGGCGUAAAGCGCGCGUAGGCGGGUUUUUAAGUUGGUGGUGAAAUUCCGAGGCUCAACCUCGGAACUGCCUCCAAAACUGGGAACCUGGAGGUAUGGAGAGGGAAGUGGAAUUCCUGGUGUAGCGGUGAAAUGCGUAGAUAUCAGGAGGAACACCUGUGGCGAAGGCGGCUUCCUGGCCAUAUCCUGACGCUGAGGUGCGAAAGCUAGGGGAGCAAACGGGAUUAGAUACCCCGGUAGUCCUAGCCGUAAACGAUGGAUACUAGGUGUUAGAGGUAUCGACCCCUCUAGUGCCGAAGCUAACGCA
rnacentral:rRNA from 1 species